AAGGAAAUAAAUAAAAUCAAUCAUCUUCAGUUUUGAAAGACUUACAAUACCAUAAGUUUUUCUCUUUUUAAGGAACAAAAGGGCCUAUAGCUCAGUUGGUUAGAGCACACGCCUGAUAAGCGUGAGGUCGGUGGUUCAAGUCCAUUUAGGCCCACCAACCACGUAGGUACCCGUUCCUUAAAAAAAAGUUCUUUGAAAAUUAGAUAAACAACCAUGAUGAUUUUUACCAAAUUAAAG
rnacentral:misc_RNA from 1 species